rnacentral:rRNA from 3 species
UGGGGAAUAUUGCACAAUGGGGGAAACCCUGAUGCAGCGACGCCGCGUGAGCGAAGAAGUAUUUCGGUAUGUAAAGCUCUAUCAGCAGGGAAGAAGAAAUGACGGUACCUGACUAAGAAGCACCGGCUAAAUACGUGCCAGCAGCCGCGGUAAUACGUAUGGUGCAAGCGUUAUCCGGAUUUACUGGGUGUAAAGGGAGCGCAGGCGGAAGGCUAAGUCUGAUGUGAAAGCCCGGGGCUCAACCCCGGUACUGCAUUGGAAACUGGUCAUCUAGAGUGUCGGAGGGGUAAGUGGAAUUCCUAGUGUAGCGGUGAAAUGCGUAGAUAUUAGGAGGAACACCAGUGGCGAAGGCGGCUUACUGGACGAUAACUGACGCUGAGGCUCGAAAGCGUGGGGAGCAAACAGG